CCCCUAGAUGUUCUGGGCCGCACGCGCGCUACACUGAACAGUUCAACAAGUCUUAACCUUGGCCGAUAGGUCUGGGCAAUCUUUGAACGCUGGUCGUGAUGGGGAUAGACUUUUGCAAUUUUUGGUCUUCAACGAGGAAUUCCUAGUAAACGCAAGUCAUCAACUUGCAUUGAUUACGUCCCUGCCCUUUGUACACACCGCCCGUCGCACCUACCGAUUGAAUGGUCCGGUGAAGCCUCCGGAUUGGCGCGCACCUCGGUGCCGCCGAGAAGUUGGCUAAACCUUACCAUUUAGAGGAAGGUGAAGUCGUANCA
rnacentral:rRNA from 1 species